AAGACUAUACUUUCUGGGAUCAUUUCUAUCGUUUCCAACUUGAGGUAUGCGUUCCUUAAGUGGUCAGUCUCACCAACCAUGAUGAUGACAUUUGAUGUUCUCUUCAGAGCGUGAUGCAGGCAGGAAUUAAUGAUGUUCUUCAUGAUUUCUGCUAUUGAUGAUCGUUCUUUACUUUCUUUUGGAGUAACAGGGAAGAGAACAUGAUCAGAGUGGU